GGCAGUGUGGCUUAGUGAAUAGAGCAUGACCCUGGAAGUCAGAAGGUCCUGGGUUCUAAUCCUGCUCUGCCA
rnacentral:tRNA from 1 species